UACGUAGGGUGCAGGCGUUAAUCGGAAUUACUGGGCGUAAAGCGUGCGCAGGCGGUCUUUUAAGUCAGAUGUGAAAUCCCUCGGCUUAACCGGGGAACUGCGUCUGAUACUGGAUGGCUUGAAUUCGGGAGAGGAUAGCGGAAUUCCCAGUGUAGAGGUGAAAUUCGUAGAUAUUGGGAAGAACACCGGUGGCGAAGGCGGCUAUCUGGACCGACAUUGACGCUGAGGCGCGAAAGCGUGGGGAGCAAACGGG
rnacentral:rRNA from 1 species